UAGAUGGAGGGGAUUGACAUUACACUCCUUUUUAUAACCUCUCUCAUGAGUUGGGAAGUGGUUAUUAUGCAGAGGCGUUUAUCAGUCGUAGAAGGAUGUAAUCAAUCUUUCUAAACAAAAACCUCUCUUACAUGUGUUUGAUGUCCUCCAUGGCAGUAACGAUGGACAGAUAGAUGGAAAUGGAGCGUCCAUUAGCAAUUAGUAUUUGCAUUACAGUAAACAAGAUGAUCUCAACUUUUUAUCCGAUAGAAUUUAUUGUGUGGGAAUUUUGGAUCGAAAAAUUGUCUCACGCCCGAAAACAAUUUUAUUCCUUAUUGAUUGCAGUAGCUAGCUGAAAAACCAUUUUCAAAUCACCGAAUCGAAGGGUGAAAGAUUGCCGCUAAUAAAUAGCAGUAAAUUUCAUUUAAUGUUGCCAGUUGUGCUAUGUACUGCUUCAGCUACAACGUCCCAGCGAGCCUGUAUGUAAGUCGAACAAAGUGAACGGAAAGACCGAUGGUGCUCUAUUAGCAAUCAAAAGGUUGCAACCAUCUACACAGACUAACAAGAAAUCCAAGUCUGAAAUGAUUACUCUAGGCAAAUGCGUCACAGAAAUUUGGUUCCACUUUUUGGCUACUGUGUUGCAAAAGGAGAGAAGCUUCUAGUUUACAUGCACAUGCCUAAUGGAACCUUGGACGAAAAACUUCAUGUUGUUGAGUCAGAUGGUAAUAGUAUAGAUUGGCCCAAAAGGUUAAAAAUAGCAAUUGCUGCAGCUAGAGGAUUGGCUUGGCUUCACCAUAGCUGCAACCCUAGAGUUAUCCAUAGCAAUGUAAGUUCUAAAUGUAGCCUAUAUUAUUGAAUGAAUAUUAUGAACCGAGGAUAACAGACUUUGGCUUUCUCGGUUGGUGAAUCCUUUAGAUACCCAUCUUAGCACAUUUGUCAAUGGUGAUUUUGGCGAUUUGGGUUAUGCAGCGCCAGAAUACAUGCGCACCUUGGUUGCCACUUUGAAGGGGGAUGUCUUUAGUUUUGGGGUUGUUCUUCUAGAGUUGGUUACUAGACAGAAACCUGUUGAAGUUGAAAAUGUACAUGAAAGUUUCAAGGGUAAUUUAGUAGAUUGGAUCAGUAAGCUUUCAAAACAUGGUAAUGCUCAGGAAACCAUCGACAAAGAUUUGGUUGGCAGGGAAUAUGAUGCAGAGCCUGUACAAAAGUUCUGGAAGUGGCUACUAACUGUGUUCUUUCUCCAGACAAGGAGAGGCCUUCUAUGCAUGAGGUUCACCAUCUGCUAAGAGCUAUUGGUGAGAAUUACAACUUUUCAGAUCAGCAUGAUGAUAUGCCUAUUGUAUCAGAUGCUGCUGAGUGUGAUUACUCAAAUGAGCUUAUAGUGGCAAUAGAACCAAAGUGAAAUUCGGCUAUAGCUAUGAGUACCUCUCAGGAAAGUCUCUGGCAAAUGGCAAAGAUGACUCAGAUUCUUAACUGUAACAUUUUUGUGGGAGCUAAGCUAUGGCGUGAAUAUAAUUAUAGAUUGAUAUUCUGCUACCUCCUUCAAAAAGUCUGCUAACCAAAUUAAUCUUGAAGACUUAUCAUGUACCAUCAUGAAAGUGCUCUCAUCUCUGCAGGAGAACAUGAAUAACUUCUUGAAACAUGUCAGAGGAUUCAUUGGCAGAUUAAUAUAACUUAUAUAUUCUAAAUUAUUUCUAGCUGAAUUUUGUUGGGCAAUAGACCCAAGGUAAGAAAAUAGUUGAGCUGAUAGGCUCUUAGUAUGGGCUUUUCUUGUCGGUAAAUAGUCAGUAUGUCGGUUAUUGCUAUUUCCUGGGGAUCGUUUUGUUUGUCGGUCAUGUUUUCUGGUGGUGUGGAAAAGGAAAGGCAAGUUGAUUUAAUGCCAUUUAACUGAGUUGAUGUCCGUGUUGGCAUUUUAAAAAUUUUUUUUUUGGUGAAUUUGGGCGGAGAUGGCGACAGUACGGUUGUUAGCAAACUUAAUUCGUUUGCCUCUAGCAUUGAUUGUUGGUCAGAGGGUAAUUUUUGUGGCCUGCGUUAAACAUUCAUGGGUCUGGACGCAAGAAACAUUUGUAGAGAGUAUCGUGCGUUGGGCGAGUUGUCCAGGGUUUUCUGUUUCAAAUGCUAGAGGGUAUUCAAAGCGUUCUUUGGAUUUGUUGUUGGCAUUAGUUAAUUCGAGUGCAUUCUGCAAUUGGGUUUUUGAUUAAUCUACAGUUGGGCUUUCAACUUGCUGGCCAACUUGUCCAGGGUUUUCUGUUUCGGAUGCUAGAGAGUAUUCAAAGCAUUCUUCGAAUUUGUUGUUCGAAUUAGUUAAUUCGAGUGCAUUCUGCAAUUGGGUUUUCAAUUAAUCUACAGUUGGCCUUUCAACUUAUCGAGGUGAUCUUGGAAUUUAGCAGAUUUGGUGAGACUCUGCAACCCAGGUAGAUGCUCUUGUUUUUGGUAUUGGACCUGGAGGUGCAGUUUCUGGUGCGGGUCGUUAUCUGAGGGAAAAGAAACCUGAUAUUAAGGUUCCCGCUUCUCCAACUUCACCAGUUCACACAACUCGAAAACAUUAUUGUAGCCACAUUGAAUUCCUCGAUGUUGAUCCUCCACAGUGAUGUCAAGACAACAUCUCUGGCAGUUCAUUCCUCUCCACAUAUUUGACCACCACACCGCCAAUUUCAACAAAAUUUCAAGCACCUACACUGUAAGUACUUCAUUCUUGAAAGAAACAAAAGACUGAAAUCUGCCUUCUUUUUCUUUAUUUCAUUCCAAACAAGCCCUAACUAUGUCUACCUUUUCAUUCUUCAAUACCUUUACCAAGUUACCAGACAAGAUUAAAAACGACCAAAAAUUCUAGACAGAUCUUUCCUGCUAUUUUGUUCACAAAAAACAACUACUAUAUUUCACUAAUCUGACGGAUAUUUACUACCUCUAAGCUUGUUGAUUGAAAAAAACCUGUUACAACCAUAAAAAAAUCUGUCAACAAUUAUACACAUACAUUACAUGCACAUUGUAGAGACAUAAAUUUUCGAGUUAACUUUGCAUUUUUAGAAUUUUGUGACAUUUUUCAUUCCGUUACUUCUUUGAGUUGAUUAUUACUAAACAAAUUUAAAACGUAUUCAUUAUGUUUGCCAAAUCAAUCACCUCUCUGAGUGGGUAAAAAAACUUCUCACCUAUCAUAAUGGUCCUCUGCUCGCUGCAACUCCCAUUCAUGCUCAUCUACUCAAAACAAGUCACUUGUAGGGUUAUCUACGUUGUGCCUGUUCCAACCUGCAGAUUAUUCAAAACAAUACGUAACAUACCUUUUGGAAAUCUCAACCAUCUUCCUUGUUAUUGUAUGUUACCACAGGUCAUUACUACUCACUAUUUAUUCACAUGUUACUGCAGUUAUGCUUAGAAUGCCUAAAUUUAUUUUGUUUUUAAUUGAUGUUGUUGCAGCCCUUAAUAUUUUGUCAGUAUUCCUUCUUUAAGGAUUCUCUCCAAGCUGCUUCAACUUCAUUCCAGGUUAAAGUUUGUUCUUCUUGUAAUAUAAAUUGAUGAAUGCCUGCAAUAUCCACCCAUAUUUUCCUCUCCACCUGGCUUUCAAAAACCAUGUGCUUAUCUGCAAACAUGUCUCUCACUGUAGAAGUUCCUCAUUCGCUACAAAUUAUUUGUACCUGAUAUGCCUCAUUGCCAACCAAUGGGUAACAGACAAAGUAUCCAACUGUCAUAUGCCUUUUUAUUAUCAAAUUACAUACCAGGUUAAAAACGAUUUGUCCAUUUCUUUGAUUCCUAAAUACUUUACAUCUCUCUUAGGUUCCUAUGCCAUUUUCAAGUUCUUGCAGCUAAGCGUUUCCAAUGAAAUCUUCAAAUAAACAUUUCUUUCAACCAGACGACUUCCCACCUUUUCAGACACACCCAUGUUCACAGAUACACAGCUUCAACAAAAACACAUGGUGGAGCUCAUUAAAACAAAUGAAUUUUCAUUCUAAGUUUCUGCAAUUUUCGUCAUAUUUUACAUAUGUUGUACAAUCUCGCCAUAAUAAUCAUUCCAUCGCUUCCCAUUCUGCCAUGCAUUUCUUUCUACUUGAACUAAUUAACAUUCUGGAACAUUACCUGCCUAAAACGUGCAACUGCUAGUUGUAUUCAGUUCUGUUUUAUAUUUUAUCAUAUAUGA